rnacentral:rRNA from 1 species
CGUGUAGGCGGCCUUUCAAGUCAGAUGUGAAAUCUCAGGGCUUGACCCUGAAACUGCAUUUGAAACUGGAGGGCUUGAGGACCGGAGAGGGCAGUGGAAUUCCCAGUGUAGCGGUGAAAUGCGUAGAUAUUGGGAAGAACACCAGUGGCGAAGGCGACUGCCUGGACGGCUCCUGACGCUGAGGCGCGAAAGCUAGGGGGAGCGAACG